UGACAGAUUGAUGUUCGAUUAGAUUAGA
rnacentral:sRNA from 1 species